CUAGUCUUUCUAUUUGCGGCGUUAUUGGUGUUGGUUGCUGUUUGUGGUUCGUCGUGCAUGAGCAGCAGAAAGUGGAAAAUUAUAAUAAAUCUCAUCCAGAAUUCUGUUUUGAUUCCGAUACAUCGCGAAUUUAAAUUAACGACUAAACGUGCAACGGUGCUGUGAGGCAAAUUAAUAAAUUCUGCGGCAUACUACUGUUCUUCGGGUGUGUGUGUAUUCAUACACGACAUGUGUGCACAUACAUAUGUCUGCAUGUACAUUCGAAAUUGAAAUUAUGCAAAAUGUGCAUCAUACUGCGAACGCUAGUUAAGGAGCAGUGCUUCAAUUGCUACUUCGAUGGAAAUGUAACUGUUACGUACUGUGUUCGCGAUUUCCCCCGUACUUAUCCUGUGCCUAAACCGUCGAGCGAAACUUCUCUCCUCGUUUAUGGUCAUUCUCCGUUCCUCUCGCUGCCAUCUGCCACAUCCACUUUGGAAAGCGAAAACAGAAACAGCAUCUCUGUGAACCCACAGAAAUACAUAUGUAAAGCAGAUAUGUACAUAGAUGUGUAUAUAUGGAUGUGAAAAAACGAGAAGAGUAGCGACUAGUCUUUUAUCUUUUAUUUUGGUAUCGGGACUGUAUUUCGUAUCCGUAAAUCCGAAUCCAAAUUGUCGGGACAGCACAGACUAGAGUAUAAAGAAUAGUAUAAGUAAAAAUAAAUUGAUACAUACACUUAUAGAUGUAUGUGCGCAAAUGUACAAUACAC
ensembl:ncRNA lncRNA:CR43958 long non-coding RNA:CR43958